rnacentral:rRNA from 1 species
GAUGAACGCUGGCGGCGUGCCUAAUACAUGCAAGUCGAGCGAACAGACGAGGAGCUUGCUCCUCUGAUGUUAGCGGCGGACGGGUGAGUAACACGUGGAUAACCUACCUAUAAGACUGGGAUAACUUCGGGAAACCGGAGCUAAUACCGGAUAAUAUAUUGAACCGCAUGGUUCAAUAGUGAAAGACGGUUUUGCUGUCACUUAUAGAUGGAUCCGCGCCGCAUUAGCUAGUUGGUAAGGUAACGGCUUACCAGGGCGACGAUGCGUAGCCGACCUGAGAGGGUGAUCGGCCACACUGGAACUGAGACACGGUCCAGACUCCUACGGGAGGCAGCAGUAGGGAAUCUUCCGCAAUGGGCGAAAGCCUGACGGAGCAACGCCGCGUGAGUGAUGAAGGUCUUCGGAUCGUAAAACUCUGUUAUUAGGGAAGAACAAAUGUGUAAGUAACUAUGCACGUCUUGACGGUACCUAAUCAGAAAGCCACGGCUAACUACGUG